rnacentral:rRNA from 1 species
CUGGCUCAGGACGAACGCUGGCGGCGUGCCUAAUACAUGCAAGUCGAGCGAGCAGAACCAGCAGAUUUACUUCGGUAAUGACGCUGGGGACGCGAGCGGCGGAUGGGUGAGUAACACGUGGGGAACCUGCCCCAUAGUCUGGGAUACCACUUGGAAACAGGUGCUAAUACCGGAUAAGAAAGCAGAUCGCAUGAUCAGCUUAUAAAAGGCGGCGUAAGCUGUCGCUAUGGGAUGGCCCCGCGGUGCAUUAGCUAGUUGGUAAGGUAACGGCUUACCAAGGCAAUGAUGCAUAGCCGAGUUGAGAGACUGAUCGGCCACAUUGGGACUGAGACACGGCCCAAACUCCUACGGGAGGCAGCAGUAGGGAAUCUUCCACAAUGGACGCAAGUCUGAUGGAGCAACGCCGCGUGAGUGAAGAAGGUUUUCGGAUCGUAAAGCUCUGUUGUUGGUGAAGAAGGAUAGAGGUAGUAACUGGCCUUUAUUUGACGGUAAUCAACCAGAAAGUCACGGCUAACUACGUGCCAGCAGCCGCGGUAAUACGUAGGUGGCAAGCGUUGUCCGGAUUUAUUGGGCGUAAAGCGAGCGCAGGCGGAAGAAUAAGUCUGAUGUGAAAGCCCUCGGCUUAACCGAGGAACUGCAUCGGAAACUGUUUUUCUUGAGUGCAGAAGAGGAGAGUGGAACUCCAUGUGUAGCGGUGGAAUGCGUAGAUAUAUGGAAGAACACCAGUGGCGAAGGCGGCUCUCUGGUCUGCAACUGACGCUGAGGCUCGAAAGCAUGGGUAGCGAACAGGAUUAGAUACCCUGGUAGUCCAUGCCGUAAACGAUGAGUGCUAAGUGUUGGGAGGUUUCCGCUUCUCAGUGCUGCAGCUAACGCAUUAAGCACUCCGCCUGGGGAGUACGACCGCAAGGUUGAAACUCAAAGGAAUUGACGGGGGCCCGCACAAGCGGUGGAGCAUGUGGUUUAAUUCGAAGCAACGCGAAGAACCUUACCAGGUCUUGACAUCUAGUGCCAUCCUAAGAGAUUAGGAGUUCCCUUCGGGGACGCUAAGACAGGUGGUGCAUGGCUGUCGUCAGCUCGUGUCGUGAGAUGUUGGGUUAAGUCCCGCAACGAGCGCAACCCUUGUUAUUAGUUGCCAGCAUUAAGUUGGGCACUCUAAUGAGACUGCCGGUGACAAACCGGAGGAAGGUGGGGAUGACGUCAAGUCAUCAUGCCCCUUAUGACCUGGGCUACACACGUGCUACAAUGGGCAGUACAACGAGAAGCGAGCCUGCGAAGGCAAGCGAAUCUCUGAAAGCUGUUCUCAGUUCGGACUGCAGUCUGCAACUCGACUGCACGAAGCUGGAAUCGCUAGUAAUCGCGGAUCAGCACGCCGCGGUGAAUACGUUCCCGGGCCUUGUACACACCGCCCGUCACACCAUGGAAGUCUGCAAUGCCCAAAGCCGGUGGCCUAACCUUCGGGAAGGAGCCGUCUAAGGCAGGGCAGAUGACUGGGGUGAAGUCGUAACAAGGUAGCCGUAGGAGAACCUGCGGCUGGAUCACCUCCUUUCU